CCUCCCUGCUCCCCGGCAGUCCCCACAUGCAGCAGCAGACUAGUGGGUAGAACUGCAGGGGUAUGGAGACAUCCCGAACUUCAGCAGCAGCAGUCCCAGCACCCCGCCCCCAACCUCAGGCAUGAAGAGCAAUGUGUCCUGGGCUGUUCCUGAGUUCCUGAUAGUCUUGCCUCCACCAGACCCUCCCCUACCGCCCACUCAUUGCUAGAAUUAUAGGUGUAUGGACACUGUGGACACAUGUCCCUUGAAGUCUGGCCUCCACCAGUACAUUGCCUGGGUUAAAUUCCACACAUGUCUGGCCCUGAAGCCAGUACUGUGUGCUUUCUUCAGCUAAAGCAAGCCCCCCUCCAUCUCUUCUGUAGCUUCCUAGGUCCUGGGCUCAUCAAGCAAUUGAAAUCUUUCAAAAUGAUCGAUCAGGGCUGAUCCACUCGAGAUUUUACUUGUGGUUGAUGUUAUUUUUCAAGUCAACGACCAAUUACAGUAACAGCAUUGAUUAAACACCGUCUCUCUGCCCUGCAUGGAAAUGCCAUCUUUCCUGUGCUUUACCUCAGAAUGGACCGGGCUUGGUUGCACACGGCUUUGAGCCCAGCACGCUGAAGACAAACAGGUGGAACUCUGUGAGUCUAAGGCCAGCCUAGUCUACAAAGAGAGUUCCAGAACAGCCAGGAGUACAUAAUGAAACCCUGUGUCAAAACACAACCAACAAACAGCGUGGGUCUUGAAUGGCUUUUAUACGUCUUGGCCUCCUGGUCUACAAACUUGCUGUGUCAAUGCCAUGUAGCCUUUCACGCUAUUCCAUCAGCUUGGUCCAGAGUUUUAGCAUCUGGCACAACUGUUCUACAUCAGUGUUUUUCAGAGAUAAAAUGCUGCUCGUGAAAUGGAAAUAUUUAGAAUUGCUUCUACAUAAAUGUUAAAUGCUUUUAUAGAACCCAAGGAAAACCCUGUUGAUGUUCUGAUUAAAAUUAAGGUUCAUCCCUUU
rnacentral:lncRNA from 1 species